AGAGUUUGAUCAUGGCUCAGGAUGAACGCUAGCUACAGGCUUAACACAUGCAAGUCGAGGGGAAACGACAUCGAAAGCUUGCUUUUGAUGGGCGUCGACCGGCGCACGGGUGAGUAACGCGUAUCCAACCUGCCCACCACUUGGGGAUAACCUUGCGAAAGUAAGACUAAUACCCAAUGACGUCUCUAGAAGACAUCUGAAGGAGAUUAAAGAUUUAUCGGUGAUGGAUGGGGAUGCGUCUGAUUAGCUUGUUGGCGGGGUAACGGCCACCAAGGCGACGAUCAGUAGGGGUUCUGAGAGGAAGGUCCCCCACAUUGGAACUGAGACACGGUCCAAAACGUCCCUACGGGAGCGA
rnacentral:rRNA from 1 species